CGUUGCGGUAGGACGGGAGUGGGACACCCUCGGGUGUGCUGGUUGUGUGACCAGUCUGCGAACCCACUUCCGUUCUGCCACCAUA
rnacentral:antisense_RNA from 1 species